rnacentral:rRNA from 1 species
UGGGGAAUAUUGCACAAUGGGGGAAACCCUGAUGCAGCGACGCCGCGUGAGGGAAGACGGUUUUCGGAUUGUAAACCUCUGUCUUGUGGGACGAUAGUGACGGUACCACAGGAGGAAGCCAUGGCUAACUACGUGCCAGCAGCCGCGGUAAUACGUAGAUGGCGAGCGUUGUCCGGAAUUACUGGGUGUAAAGGGAGUGUAGGCGGGCUGGUAAGUUGAAUGUGAAACCUUCGGGCUCAACCCGGAGCGUGCGUUCAAAACUGCUGGUCUUGAGUGAAGUAGAGGCAGGCGGAAUUCCCGGUGUAGCGGUGGAAUGCGUAGAUAUCGGGAGGAACACCAGUGGCGAAGGCGGCCUGCUGGGCUUUUACUGACGCUGAGGCUCGAAAGCAUGGGUAGCAAACAGG